AUGGGCCACCACGGUCUUGAUGCCCACCCACACUGCCUCACUGGGAUCACCACCACGAGGCAAAGAGGACGGAGAGAGGAGCGCCAGGAAUCAGGAGCGGCAGCACCGGAGCCGCGCGGGAGGGAACCACCUCCACUGCUGUUGUGCGGGAGGUUUGUGCCUCCAACACCGUCGUGGUCGCUGUUCGGACGUGGCAACAGGGGCAUACCAGGCCACCCCUGGCCCGGCCAUGCCCAAAUCGGCCCCGCAAAGCCCCGACUGCCACGUUGCAGCAGGCCGGCGCCAGCGGCCGCCACCACCCACUCCGCCCAAUGCCGCUCCUCCGCUUGCCGGAAACCACACCAUCGACGUGCCCCACCACGCCCCCUGCCUAGACCGAGAUGGGCCCAGAUCUGGGCUGAGCGGGUGCUGCGCCACCCUGCCGCAAAUGCUGCUCGGCUGCCCCAACUGCUGUCGUUGAAGAAGGCAGAGGCAGAAGCUACCUCAACCUGUUUUGAUCUGUUGAUCAAUGGCCAUGGCUGGAUCCAGGCGCCUUUGAGGGCAAGUUCGCGCACCUCUCUUUGCAAGAAUUUUGACAUCCUCUUCCUCCCUGCCGAGCCCCCGGCCAUCUCCCGCUUCUACAUACGGUGGCCUGACGAUACAAAGUCGGAGGAUGCCAAGGGAACCAAGCUCGUGGCCGCCCACCGUGAUCUGGUUCUCUUCAUGCAAACCUCUUUUGGAAGAUUGGACAAGGACGGUCGCUUACCGAUCAUACAAGACCACUUUAUAUGUGUAGCGUCAUGUGAGACUAAGCCGUCCCUGCAGCUCAAACAGCUCCCUAUCUGCAACAAGCCAAUGAUCUUCCCUUUUGGAGAGGGAGAGGAGAAGGCAAUGGCUGAGCAGCGUCUGUUCUUCCCGGACACUGUAGGACUCAUCCGAGGCCAUGGCGAAAGCGUUGAAGCAGAAUUUGCAGUGGCGCAGCUGGCUAUGGUCAGCGAAAUACCUGGCUCGCUCAACAUGGAAGCAGAAGUUUGUGUGUUCCUCUCACUUGUAUCUGGUAAUGAUGGUGAUGGCAAAUGGGAUGUGAGGAAGAUACCAAUCGACCAUAAGGAGGAUGAGCAUAAGGAGUUAUACUAUUGGUCAACUGAUGCUGUCAUCACAUUCAACUCUUGCAUUUGUUGGAUUAGUUAUUACAGAGGUGAUGGGCCAUGGGAUGAGCAUGUGGCCAUCACAUCUGAAGAGCUGUGGGCUUUAAACAGAUAUAUAGGUCUGCUGUGUGAUAUCCUGAUGUUCCCUCUUGUGAGCAUGCUGAAUUCCAACAUCGCAUACUUUUUGGUCUCAGAGUCUGCCGAAGAAGAAAAAAGCAAGGUUUCUUUGGUCACAAUUCAGUUAAGUACCAAGAAAGUGCUCGUAGUUCAUCCAUAUAUUUUAAGAGAAGAAGGCAGCCCCAGUGGCCCAGAUGCUGACAUGAUCGAGGAAAAGUCUCAUCUCCUAAGGAGUUUCAUUUCCUCCAGGUUUCCCCGCGUACUUAAAACAAGGUCUUGGUGCCAGGGUGUGUGA
rnacentral:rRNA from 1 species